GUCAGGAUAGCCGAGCGGUCUAAGGUGCUGCGUUCAGGUUGCAGUCUCCUCUGGAGGCGUGGGUUUAAAUCCCACAUCUGACA
rnacentral:tRNA from 1 species